rnacentral:rRNA from 1 species
AUUGAACGCUGGCGGCAGGCCUAACACAUGCAAGUCGAACGCGUGGCGGACGGUUGAGUAAUUGCUGGGAACCUUCCUGAUGUCGUGGGAUACCUACUGGAAACUUUAGCUAAUACCGCAUAACAUCGUAUGUGCCACGAUGGGAUUAGCUAGUAGGUGGGGUAAAGGCUCACCUAGGCGACAAUCCCUAGCUGGUCUGAGAGGAUGAUCAGCCACACUGGGACUGAGACACGGCCCAGACUCCUACGGGAGGCAGCAGUGGGGAAUAUUGCACAAUGGGCGCAAGCCUGAUGCAGCCAUGCCGCGUGUAUAAAGAAGGCCCUAGGGUUGUAAAGUACUUUCAGUCGGGAGGCGGGACCGAAAGAAGAAGCACCGGCUAACUCCGUGCCAGCAGCCGCGGUAAUUA